rnacentral:rRNA from 1 species
ACAAUGGCAGGUACAGAGGGAUGCUACCGGGCGACCGGAUGCGGAUCUCGAAAGCCUGUCCCAGUUCGGACUGGAGUCUGCAACCCGACUCCACGAAGUUGGAUUCGCUAGUAAUCGCGCGUCAGCCAUGGCGCGGUGAAUACGUUCCCGGGCCUUGUACACACCGCCCGUCAAGCCAUGGGAGCCGGGGGCGCCUGAAGUCCGGGACCGCGAGGACCGGCCUAGGGCGAAACUGGUAACUGGGGCUAAGUCGUAACAAGGUAUC